rnacentral:tRNA from 2 species
CAAAAAAGCCGGAAUAGCUCAGUUGGUAGAGCAGAGGACUGAAAAUCCUCGUGUCAC